rnacentral:lncRNA from 1 species
AUCGAACAUGGUGUUUUAAAUGUGUCGUCUCCUUAGUCACCUGUGGAUGGAGUCAUGCUGACCCAGCCCUUCCACGUCAGAUCCCGAGUGGCAGUGGCACGUGUUCCCCAGGGUCCCUCACCAGUGGGAAAGUUACUGGGAAGUAGGGCAGGCUGCGUCCUCCACGCCAGGGACUGUAUAGUGUGGGAGAAGCCUUCCCUUCAGGCUGCAGAGCCCCAAGCUCUGAACUGGCCUUCCCUAGUUCUGGAAGCUUCCUUCCUUCUGCUCUCAGUGACGCUGCUGGAGGUGCGGGCAGAGCCCGGAUAGUCACAUCCGGGCCUGCCCUGUGCAUGGAGUCUCCUAAAUACCCAGGGUCCUCCCUGGCAACCCAAGCAGAGCAGGCUGGAGCUCAAGGUAAUGUCACAGUGACUUACCCUGCUCUCUGGAUCUUCUCUUCCUUUGCCUUGCACUGUUUAU